AUUGAACGCUGGCGGCUGGCUUAACACAUGCAAGUCGAGCGGAGAGAGGUAGCUUGCUACUGAUCUUAGCGGCGGACGGGUGAGUAAUGCUUAGGAAUCUGCCUAUUAGUGGGGGACAACAUUUCGAAAGGAAUGCUAAUACCGCAUACGUCCUACGGGAGAAAGCAGGGGAUCUUCGGACCUUGCGCUAAUAGAUGAGCCUAAGUCGGAUUAGCUAGUUGGUGGGGUAAAGGCCUACCAAGGCGACGAACUGUAGCGGGUCUGAGAAGAUGAACCGCCACACUGGGACUGAGACACGGCCCAGACUCCUACGGGAGGCAGCAGUGGGGAAUAUUGGACAAUGGGCGGAAGCCUGAUCCAGCCAUGCCGCGUGUGUGAGGAAGGCCUUAUGGUUGUAAAGCACUUUAAGCGAGGAGGAGGCUACUUUAGUUAAUACCUAGAGAUAGUGGACGUUACUCGCAGAAUAAGCACCGGCUAACUCUGUGCCAGCCGCCGCGGUAACAC
rnacentral:rRNA from 1 species